rnacentral:lncRNA from 1 species
UGUUCAAAGCUCUUUUGUAUUUAUUAUUUUAUUAUAUUGGAUCAUCACAAGCCCCAGAGGGAGAGCUAUCCUCCUGUUUUGCCUGAAGAAACAGAGGCCCAGAAAGGCCCAGGAUUCCAGCAGCCAAAAUGAUUGCACUAAGUUGGAAACCAGGGGCCAGCGCUGGGAGCGCGAUGAAGUCAACUUUCAUGGCAAGAUGAUGGAGCACUUGGGAAAUGCUGGCAAGGACAAGCAUAUCUCCUGCAAUUUUUCUGCACCUUUCAUUUCGGCGGUCUAAAGAGAGGAGAGGCUAGCCUACAGAAGGUGAAAGGCCUCCAGGAGGAAGCUCACCCUGGCUGGGAGCCAGCCUGGCAGGGAGCAAGCAGGUGUGAAAGGUGACAACCCAGGAUCCCCUGGGACUCUGGGACAGUUCACUCC